UACACUCCUGCGGGAGGCAGCAGUGGGGAAUUUUGGACAAUGGGCGAAAGCCUGAUCCAGCCAUGCCGCGUGCAGGAUGAAGGCCUUCGGGUUGUAAACUGCUUUUGUACGGAACGAAACGGCCUUUUCUAAUAAAGAGGGCUAAUGACGGUACCGUAAGAAUAAGCACCGGCUAACUACGUGCCAGCAGCCGCGGUAAUACGUAGGGUGCCAGCGUUAAUCGGAAUUACUGGGCGUAAAGCGUGCGCAGGCGGUUAUGUAAGACAGUUGUGAAAUCCCCGGGCUCAACCUGGGAACUGCAUCUGUGACUGCAUAGCUAGAGUACGGUAGAGGGGGAUGGAAUUCCGCGUGUAGCAGUGAAAUGCGUAGAUAUGCGGAGGAACACCGAUGGCGAAGGCAAUCCCCUGGACCUGUACUGACGCUCAUGCACGAAAGCGUGGGGAGCAAACAGGAUUAGAAACCCUGGUAGUCCC
rnacentral:rRNA from 1 species